GAGAGAGAGAGAGAGAGAGAGAGAGAGAAUUGGUGCACGGAGCCAUAUUGGAUUUGGGCCUAGUCGCUUUUUGAACUGCUUGGCUCAAAGUGGCUAGGUGACUCUGGGCUGUUUGGCCACAGAGACUCACCCCUAAGAUGACUGCCAUAAGUCUUAAGAUUGUUGGACAAAGCCUCUCCCAUGAAUUUAUGGCACAGGAAGAUAACAUUCAAGGGAUGCCUCAGCUCCCUUAGCAGAUACCAGUUAUCUCCUCAGUCAACACCCAGUGUCUCCACCACCUGACCUCAUCGCCUGACUUCUUUGCCUCCAGCUAUCACUGCCUAUACCCUCAUCUCCCCCUCCUUCAUAUUUCACAAAGGUCACUCCCCCUACCUGAAAGCCUUAAAAGCUGUAACGUUCAUCCCAAUAAACGAGACCUUGACAACAGAAUCUUGCUUGGUCUCCUUCUUCUCUUCACCCCCAUUUAGGCCCAAGGGUAGCGCCCCUUCAGGACCCUGAAUAACUGGGUCCCCGCUGGCGGGGACAAGUGGCGCCCGAACACAGGGACCCCGAAGUACGGCCAACUACCGGACGACAGAGACAGGAGAUCUGUGGAGAGAUUGAGGACUCUCAGGCUGCAUCGCUCGUGCAUCACUGGAGAGGGAGGAUGCUACAAGAGUAUGCCAGCUGCCAGAGGUGGUUGCUGAGACUUGCUGAUCCUGGGAGCAUGAAGAUUCAGCUCUCCUGGUUCGGGUCCCUGGAGUCAUUCCUGUGUCCUUGGAGGAAUAUGGAGGAUUCCCACUCAUCUUUUGUCAUCACAGAAAUUCUGGCGUUGCUGCAGUCAUUGUGUCCCAUCCCACCUCGGCCUGCGCUCCGACCCUCUGUGCACUGCUGCUUGCUGGAAGCUGCUGUGGACUGGGGAACUCUGCCCUGGUUUUGCAGAUCUCAGACAUGGUUCCAUUGCCUGCUAGUUGUUCCAGAGAAGAAUGACCGAUCCUGAACUGUCCUGGGAAAGUCCUUGGCAUUUUCGCUGCUAUUGUGGCAGCCAUUACUGCUGCAGCCAUUGUGUCUGCAGUGUCUGGAGUUACCCUCCCCCAAUCUAUUGUUAGGCAAUCACAGUGGGUGAACUUUCUGGAGUAGUUGCUAACAAUUGGGAAUUCUAAAUUUUAUUACAGGAGAGGCUUGACUAGGCCCUUGGUGGUAGCAGCUGAGGAGAACCAGAGAGAUAACGAACCAGAUGAGGUGCCCACUACUUGUCGGGAGAGGCUCAAUUUCCACAAUCUCUUAUAUUAAUGCCAUCUGGCCCCUGCUCCUUCGCCCCUGGGCUCAAAUAAGAGGAAUGAGAAGAUGACCUGAUGUAGCUAUUCUCAGCGACGGGCAACUUCCUCUGACCCUUGACCAAUCUAAGACAGGAACCUUGGGGGCGACAAGGUGAUCCUAUGACAGAUAAGGCUGGGGUUCGAGAGGUCAAUCCUAAGACAGAGGUGGCUACACCCCGUUUAAAUGUACGGGCUGGUCAAAUGCUCCUCUGCCCAGUUUCUCCCCCAAUAACACACACGUAUAGCCCAGAACGGUGUGUUACAGCAUAAGUUUCUAGCCAUUGGGGUGCAGUCCUAACUGCAAGAGUGGCUCGCCAUGGCCGAGCUGGGCACUCUGUGAGGCAUGUCUGAUCUCUCUCAGACCACUACUUCCACCUAAUGGUCUUUUUUAAAAGAAAAAUGGGGGAGAUGCACGGAGCCAUAUUGGAUUUGGGCCUAGCCGCUUUUUGACUGCAUGGUUCAAAGUGACUCUGGGCUGUUUGGCCACAGAGACUCACCCCUAAGAUGACUGCUAUAAGUCUUAAGAUUGUUGGACAAAGCCUCUCCCAUGAAUUUACGGCACAGGAAGAUAACAUUCAAGGGAUGCCUCAGCUCCCUUAGCAGAUACCAGUUAUCUCCUCAGUCAACACCCAGUGUCUCCACCACCUGACCUCAUCGCCUGACUUCUUUGAAUAACUGGGUCCCCGCUGGCGGGGACAAAUUGGCACCACAAAGUUGUCCUCAGAGCCACAUACUCACAGCGGCAUGAUUACCCACUGGCAUCACGCACACUCGCACACAUACAAGCACAUUUUUGUUUGUUUCUUGUGUUCUUUUUGUUUGUUUGCUUGCUUGCUUUUGAGACAGGGUUUCCCUGUGUAGCCCUGGCUGUCCAGGAACAGCUAGGCAAUGGAAUGGUAGUAUGCAUUGCACUUUGGGAAAGACCUUUAUACUGCAAUUACAGAGAGGACGCAUAACAAAAUAAAAUACGGACAGUGUCCCUAAUUCAUUGCUCAUUAUCUUAAGGGGAAUAGAAAGGGUUUCCGGGGCUUACAGUUUAUCACCAGAUGUAACUAGAUUAGCAUUUGAAAUCUGUUUAGAGGUUUAGCUACCUGGGGUUUAUUUUAUACAUAUAUAUAUAUAUAUAUAUAUAUAUAUAUAUUUUUUUUUUUUGUUCUUUUUUUCGGAGCUGGGGACCGAACCCAGGGCCUUGCGCUUCCUAGGUAAGCGCUCUACCGCUGAGCUAAAUCCCCAGCCCUAUUUUAUAUUUUAAGACAAGGUUUUUUCUGUGCAGAUCUAGCUGUCCUGAAAUUCACUUUUUAGAUUAGGCUGGCCUUGAAAGCACAGAAAUCUACUUGCCUUUGUCUCCUGAGUGCUGGGGAUUAAAGGCUUGUGCCUUUGCUACUGGGCUACAAGCACAUUUUUUGUACACACACACACCCCACACACACACACACACACACACACACACACACACACACACACACACACGGGGGCUGUGAAUGGAAUGCGUUCCUAAACAUAUAAAACACACAGCUCCUCUUUCUCUUCCAACAUAACAUCAUCUGCUUGGGACCAGGAAUUUGGAACGUGAGACUGUGUGCGAUAAUUUCAGACUCAAGCCAUAAUGUGGUCCAUUCAGUUUGAGGUAAUCUGUUCUGCUAGGUGUAAGAAACUAAUGCAAAUGCGGUAAUACACGAGCCAUACUAGUAAAUCCAAACAAAAACAAACCGGAGAAGCAGAUGAGGUUUAGCAACAAACUUCUCACAAUUGCCAGCCAACAUCCCAAUGUCAAAAACCCUAAAAUAGCUAACUACAAAAAAAAUUAUUAUUACUGCUUGUAGCUCCUAUAGUCCCAGCACUCUGAGGAGGCUGAGGCAGAAUGAUCUUGGUUUAAGGCCAGCAAAACCCUAGAACAAAACAAAACAAAAAGAAAUUUAUUAUCUCAUUAUCAAGUAAGAAUAUAAACAGAAAAAUGAAACGAA